AGCGCAGACGGUUAUUUAAGCAAGAUGUGAAAGCCCCGGGCUCAACCUGGGAACUGCGUUUUGAACUGGGUAACUAGAGUGUGUCAGAGGGGGGUAGAAUUCCACGUGUAGCAGCGAAAUGCGUAGAGAUGUGGAGGAAUACCGAUGGCGAAGGCAGCCCCCUGGGAUAACACUGACGUUCAUGCUCGAAAGCGUGGGUAGCAAACA
rnacentral:rRNA from 1 species